UCCUUCAUAGUUUAAUAAAAAAUAUUGAUUUUGUAAAUCAAAGAAUAAAAGAGGAU
rnacentral:tRNA from 1 species